AGCUCCAAUAGCGUAUAUUAAAGUUGUUGCAGUUAAAAAGCUCGUAGUUGGAUCUCAGGUGCAGGCGGACGGUCCGGCUCGCGCCGGUUCACUGUCCGUAUUUCCUGCCCUACUGGUCUGCCGGCUCUCUCCCGUGGGUGCUCUUCGCUGAGCGUCCCGGGUGGCCGGCGCGUUUACUUUGAAAAAAUUAGAGUGUUCAAAGCAGGCCUCGGCUGCCUGAAUAAUGGUGCAUGGAAUAAUGGAAUAGGACCUUGGUUCUAUUUUGUUGGUUUUCGGAACUUUAGGUAAUGAUUAAAAGGGACAAACGGGGGCAUUCGUAUUGCGGCGUUAGAGGUGAAAUUCUUGGAUCGCCGCAAGACGAGCUACUGCGAAAGCAUUUGUCAAGAAUGUUUUCAUU
rnacentral:rRNA from 1 species